rnacentral:rRNA from 1 species
UGAGGAAUAUUGGUCAAUGGACGCAAGUCUGAACCAGCCAUGCCGCGUGAAGGAUGACUGCCCUAUGGGUUGUAAACUUCUUUUACAUGGGACGAACCUACUCUACGUGUAGAGUACUGACGGUACCAUAUGAAUAAGCAACGGCUAACUCCGUGCCAGCAGCCGCGGUAAUACGGAGGUUGCAAGCGUUAUCCGGAUUUAUUGGGUUUAAAGGGUGCGUAGGCGGGAUUAUAAGUCAGUGGUGAAAACCUGCAGCUUAACUGUAGAACUGCCAUUGAUACUGUAAUUCUUGAGUAUAGUUGAGGUGGGCGGAAUGUGUAGUGUAGCGGUGAAAUGCUUAGAUAUUACACAGAACACCGAUUGCGUAGGCAGCUCACUAAACUAAAACUGACGCUGAGGCACGAAAGCGUGGGGAUCAAACAGG